rnacentral:rRNA from 1 species
GAUGAACGCUAGCGGCAGGCCUAAUACAUGCAAGUCAAGGGGCUCUUUCGGGAGCACCGGCGGACGGGUGCGUAACGCGUACACAACGUACCUCAGAGCGGGGGAUAGCAUCGGGAAACUGGUGGUAAUACCCCAUGGUGUUGAGAGAUGGCAUCAUUUUUCUAACUAAAGGUUACACUCUGAGAUCGGUGUGCGUCUGAUUAGCUAGUUGGCGGGGUAACGGCCCACCAAGGCGACGAUCAGUAGGGGGUGUGAGAGCAUGACCCCCCACAUGGGUACUGAGACACGGACCCAACUCCUACGGGAGGCAGCAGUAAGGAAUAUUGCGCAAUGGGCGAAAGCCUGACGCAGCAACGCCGCGUGGGUGAAGAAGGUCUUCGGAUCGUAAAGCCCUGUCAGGAGGGACGAAACAAAUGACGGUACCUCCAAAGGAAGCACUGGCUAACUCCGUG